rnacentral:rRNA from 1 species
UGGGGAAUUUUGGACAAUGGGCGAAAGCCUGAUCCAGCCAUGCCGCGUGAGUGAAGAAGGCCUUCGGGUUGUAAAGCUCUUUUAGUCGGAAAGAAAGAGUCGCAAUGAAUAAUUGUGAUUUAUGACGGUACCGACAGAAAAAGCACCGGCUAACUACGUGCCAGCAGCCGCGGUAAUACGUAGGGUGCGAGCGUUAAUCGGAAUUACUGGGCGUAAAGGGUGCGCAGGCGGUUUUGCAAGUCAGAUGUGAAAGCCCCGGGCUUAACCUGGGAAUUGCGUUUGAAACUACAAGGCUAGAGUGCAGCAGAGGGGAGUGGAAUUCCAUGUGUAGCAGUGAAAUGCGUAGAGAUGUGGAAGAACACCGAUGGCGAAGGCAGCUCCCUGGGUUGGCACUGACGCUCAUGCACGAAAGCGUGGGGAGCAAACA